CUUGUGUCGACAUUGCAAGAUAUAUCAGUGUAUAUAUUUUGCUAAAUUAUAAGUGAUUUUGUUAUCGGCGACGCGGCGCGCGGCACCCCCCAGCGACAUCCGACGCCGCGCGCCAUUACCGCGCCCCGCCGCCGCCAUCGCGCCCCCGCCCCCGCGCGCCCCGCCGCCCCCCGCCGCCACACUCAUUAGCCCGAUGGCGCGAGACCGGCUGCACCCGGUGCCGCGACUUGAAUUUUUAGACGACAUGAAGUUUUUUCUUGCUGUCAUAAAUGCAGUGAAGCCCCAGCUUUACAUCCCACGCAAAUUUGUUUUCAAGUUCUGUAUGAAAACCCCAAAUAACAGGAAGAGGAAAAUAUGUUUUAAUGAGUAUCGAGAGCCGAGUG